rnacentral:rRNA from 1 species
ACACGACUACAUUAGAUACCCCUGUAGUCCUAGCCGUAAACGAUGCUCGCUAGGUGUCGGCCACGGUGCGACCGUUGUCGGUGCCGUAGGGAAGCCGUGAAGCGAGCCACCUGGGAAGUACGGCCGCAAGGCUGAAACUUAAAGGAAUUGGCGGGGGAGCACAACAACGGGUGGAGCUUGCGGUUUAAUUGGAUUCAACGCCGGAAAUCUUACCGGGACCGACAGCAACAUGAAGGCCAAGCUGAAGACUUUGCCGGAUUAGCUG